rnacentral:rRNA from 1 species
GUGUCAGCCGCCGCGGUAAUACGUAGGUGGCAAGCGUUGUCCGGAUUUACUGGGCGUAAAGGAUGUGUAGGCGGAUAUUUAAGUGAGAUGUGAAAUCCCCGGGCUUAACUUGGGGGCUGCAUUUCAAACUGGAUGUCUAGAGUGCAGGAGAGGAAAGCAGAAUUCCUAGUGUAGCGGUGAAAUGCGUAGAGAUUAGGAAGAAUACCAGUGGCGAAGGCUGCUUUCUGGACUGUAACUGACGCUGAGGCAUGAAAGCGUGGGGAGCAAACAGGAUUAGAUACCCGGGUAGUCCACGCCGUAAACGAUGAUUACUAGGUGUGGGGGGACUGACCCCUUCCGUGCCGCAGUUAACACAAUAAGUAAUCCACCUGGGGAGUACGGCCGCAAGGUUGAAACUUAAAGGAAUUGGCGG